rnacentral:rRNA from 1 species
GAUGAACGCUGGCGGCGUGCUUAACACAUGCAAGUCGAGCGAGUGAGUUCUUCGGAACGAUCUAGCGGCGGACGGGUGAGUAACACGUGGGCAACCUGCCUCAUAGAGGGGAAUAGCCUCCCGAAAGGGAGAUUAAUACCGCAUAAAAUUAUCGAGUGGCAUCACAUGAUAAUCAAAGGAGUAAUCCGCUAUGAGAUGGGCCCGCGGCGCAUUGGCUAGUUGGUGAGGUAACGGCUCACCAAGGCGACGAUGCGUAGCCGACCUGAGAGGAUGAUCGGCCACAUUGGGGCUGAGGCACGGCCCAGACUCCUACGGGAGGCAGCAGUGGGGAAUAUUGCACAAUGGGGGAAACCCUGAUGCAGCAACGCCGCGUGAGUGAUGAAGGUCUUCGGAUUGUAAAGCUCUGUCUUUGGGGACGAUAAUGACGGUACCCAAGGAGGAAGCCACGGCUAACUACGUGCCAGCCGCCGCAGUAA